GACGAACGCUGGCGGCGUGCUUAACACAUGCAAGUCGAACGGAGAGGCCUGCUUUCCCUUGUGGAUUGCGGGUACUCGAGUGGCGAACGGGUGAGUAACACGUGAGUGAUCUGCCCCCAACUUGGGUAUAAGCCUGGGAAACUGGGUCUAAUUCCCGAUAGGACUGCAGGGUGGCGCCUGUGGUGGAAAACGAUUUUCUAGUGGUUGGGGAUGAGCUCGCGGCCUAUCAGCUUGUUGGUGGGGUAAUGGCCUACCAAGGCGGCGACGGGUAGCCGGCCUGAGAGGGUGGACGGCCACAUUGGGACUGAGAUACGGCCCAGACUCCUACGGGAGGCAGCAGUGGGGAAUAUUGCACAAUGGGCGGAAGCCUGAUGCAGCGACGCCGCGUGGGGGAUGACGGCCUUCGGGUUGUAAACUCCUUUCGACCGCGAGGAAGCCACCUGGUUGGAAGGGUGGUGACGGUAGUGGUAGAAGAAGCACCGGCUAACUACGUG
rnacentral:rRNA from 1 species